rnacentral:tRNA from 1 species
AGUUAGAAAGUUUCAAAAACUUUAAGUUGCAAGCUUAAGAUAGCAGCAGCUCUAACUA